rnacentral:tRNA from 1 species
AGGGGAGUAGCUCAAUCGGAAGAGCAUCGGUCUCCAAAACCGAGGGUCGCAGGUUCGAGCCCUGUCUCCCCUGCCA